UGCUGAUUGAUUAUCUUGCUAAGCCACGGCGACGGCCGGGCCCGAUCCGCGCCCACGUACGGCCAUCUCCCGCCCAUAAAUAUACGUGCCCGCAUCGCCCAGAGGCAGCAGCAACACCAAGAGUAGCCGGCUGUGGUAGGCACUAGCCUUUGGCUCCCCACACCACACGUUGCCUCUCUCCCUCCGCUCUCCAUCAGGUAACAUCCAUGCAAACAGCAAUGCGCGUUCAUAUGUCAGAUGUGCAAGCUAGACACUGGAUUACCAGAUGUGUGUGACUAGUACGCCCUGUGAAUUUAGCAACUGACGUAAUCCUUUUAUUUGUGGUUUGCUAAUUCCCACUCAACUCCGUACAAGAUUCCGCAAUUUUAUGAGCUUCUGUAUUAUUCUUUUGAAUGAUACGUAAUCACCACUAUUAAUAAAAAACCGAGAAAGAAUAUAUAUGCAAGAGUUUUGGAGAUUUUAGAAUUGCCGGUAAGUUUGUUGCUUCGAGUUGAAGAUUUACACCGACAAAAGACGAGAUGUGCACACAAAGCUUUAAGCACUAAUUAAGCCUUAGUGAAUAUCUACACUAGUAAGUUUUUCUUCAUGUUUGAAAUGCUUAGCAUUGUAGAUACUCCCUAAGGCUUGGGUGGUAUUGCGUUGUGUGGCCACUCGAUCAACUUUGGCCUCCCGUCGGCAGUGUAGAGCAAAGGGAUGUGUAUACUACUUGAUUCACCUUUUUUCUCGACAGGUACAUGAAGGAAUAUAUAUGGUUGCUAGCUUCAUGCAUAUGCUACUAUUUAUUUGUUUUAUUUUUAUAACGAUGCAAAUUCUUGUUAAUGGUUAAAGUAAAUCAGCAGUGAAUUGCUGGCAAAUAAUGUGAUGCCCUACAAAAAACAAACAUUUUGUAAACAGGUAAACAAAUAAUGUGACGCAGUUUCUAUUUUUUAUUUUGCUAACGCCCAGCCAACUGAGAAUUUCGUACAAGACUCCACAAUCUUAUGAGCAUAUGUAUUUCCUUUGGACUAAUAUAUGGAAUUAAUUCUUCACAUCAAAGAAAUUGUGAAACAAUACACAGUAGUUUUAGAGAUUUUACAAUGCAUGGUGGGCUAGUUUGUUGCUUCAAGAGUUAAGAUGUACACGCAAAGCUUUAAAGCAGUCGAGCCUUAGUGAAUAUCUACACCAGUAAGUUUUUUUCUUCAUGCCAGAAAUACUUAACAGUGUAGAUACUCCCUAAGGCUUGGUGGUAUUGCAUUGUUGUGGCAACAUGUCACUUGAGCAUCUUUGAGCCUCCCAUCGCCAAUCAACAAUGUAUAUAGCUCCAAUCAAAAGUAGGUUUAUGCAAAAGGAUGUGUGUGCUACUUGAUUCACCCUUUUUCUCGACAAGUAUAUACACGCUAACGUACUACUCUUUAUUAGUUGGAAUUUUUAUAACCAUACAAAUUUUCGUCUAUGAACGCUCGGCAAUGGGCCAAGGUGGAAGCCAUAGGGUUAGCAAGUCUGAGUAGUUGGCUUGCUUCUGUUUGGGCUGAGCAACCCAUGUCUUCUGCUUGGGUCAUCACCUACAUGUUGGCUUGCGCACGUGCUCUUGUGCAACCAUUCCUUGUACUUCCUUGUGAAUUAUCAUAUGUGACUUAGUAUGUCCCGUAAUUCAGCAGCCGAUGCAAUUUCUAUUUUUGGUUUUGCUAAUUGCCACUCAACUCCGUACAAGAUUCCAGAAUUUUAUGAGCUUCUACAUUUUUCUUUGAAAUAAAAUGAUACACAAUCAAUUCUUUUAAUAAAAAACUGAGAAAAAAAUAUGCAAUAGUUGUGGAGAUUUUAGAAUCUCUAGUAAGUUUGUUGCUUCGAACUGAAGAUUUACACCGGCAAAAGACAAGAUGUACACAUAAAGCUUUAAGCACUAAAGCCUUAGUGAAUAUCUACACUAGUAAGAUUUUCUUCAUGUUGGAAAUGCUUAGCAUUGUAGAUACUCCCUAAGGCUUGGGUGGUAUUGUGUUGUUGUGGACACUUGAUCAUCUUUGGCCUCCCAUCUACAAUGUAUAGCUUGAAGAAAAAUAGCUGAUGAUGACACCACUACUACAGUUACACACAUAGCCCCCAUUACAACAUAUAUGGGACCGACUACUAGAGCUCGUGCACGCCAACUAAAUUAUCAGGUACUUUCGUUUCUUGGUAAUAACUCUAGUGUUCAUUAGAAUAUGAUGCUACCUAAGUUGGAUACAUUUGUGUUGUUUAGGAAUGAAGCCCCCAACAUGGACAAGAGGGACACUGGAGCAUGAUCAAGCAUAGAGAUGAAGGUGCAUAUGAAGGGAACAAGAGCAGAGUUUCUAGUGGAUGACAUACAAGGACAUGGAUGAAAUGUACAAGACAAUCUUUUAUAAAUUUUGUCCAUAGCUCAUUAUACGUGUUGCGCCACCUUAUUUUUGCGCCAGGCCCAUGAAGUUUUGAAAUACUAAUUCAUAGGUUAUUUUUAGAGUCUGCAUUGUAGGGGAAACAACUCACGAGGGAUUUGAGUCCCACCUUACGAAAGGUGGAUGAAGUUCCCUCUCCUUUCCCCUCUAAAUACAGCCCUUACGGCGUCGUUUAGAUUUGGGUUUUGUUUAGAUUACAAUUUUCCAUGGUUGCAACUCAUGUGCUUCGUUUGUGUCCAACGACUACGUCAAGACGUCACAUAGCCCCACACUUUGAUAAUUAAUUAAUUUUUCUUACAUUCACAAUAUCUAGAUUGCAAUAUCAGUUUCUUGAUUGCUCUUCAUUUGCGCGCGGGAAAUAGACCCUCAUGGUCAGGUGAUUGAUUGUUCUUCAUUUGCGUGCGGGAAAUAGACCCUCGUGGUUGGGUGAUUGUGCUAUGGCGUGGUCAAUAACCUCUCAGAGUUGGUUUAGUGAUUGCUAAGGCGCGACGUCUUCACAUGUUCAUAGUGGGAUCGUAAAAGUCUAGUCCACCGAAAAUAAUAGUCAUCAUCUCAUUGAAAGACGGGACACAUUUGCAUCUAUCAAGUGGUAUCAUAUUUCCAAGUUGCUCGAUGAGAUUUUACUAGUUUUUCAUAGUCUAGAUUGCAUCUGUUCUUCCUACCUACAGUCCACCAAAAGCCAAAAAAAGGAUUAGAUCAUCAUCUUCGAACCAAUCUGAGCUUUUUGCAUUUUGCUUUUCAGUGUUUUUCUUUGUUGAAUUUGCAGUUGCAUCUUCAUGUCGAGUCGUUGGUCUUACCGUCUAGUCACUUAGAGAUUUGACUUCGAGUCACAGGUUGUCAUGUCGCUACCACACAAUUUUUAUCUCCAUUGCCAUAUACAUCCACACACACACAUGACCCGAAUAAUUGAUAAAAUCUGGAAUAUUAUAAAGUGGAAUAUUACCAAAUAUUGAUAUGGAAAUAUCAAAUAUAUGGGCAGGGAAGGCCCCACCAAAAUAAUAAUAAUAAUAAAUAAAACAAAUAAUAAUUUAAUAAGAUGGAUGGCGAGCAUAUUCACAUCCAAGUUUCCCUGUACGCAUAUAAGCAGCUAAAUGCACAUGCAUAUGCAUACCAAAAGGCUGUACUAUUCCUGAAGAUAAGGUCCAAGACACAAUCAAGAAAGCUCAAAAGGAACAUAAUAAGGCCACCUCCAUUUGCUUGCAAGAUGAGGAUUCUGCAAUUCUAUCCAGCAUGCACUCAGUAUCCUAGAAAGAAGGGCUUCAAAUGGCUAUAAAGCCUAGAAGACCUAAAACUAGAUGUGUAAUGGACAAGAAGAAAGAAGUAAUGGAGGUGUGAUACGUCUAUUUUGCAUCAUGUUUUCCUACGGUUUUUUUUACUGUUUUCAAUCAAUAUAACACUUCGUGGAGCAAUUCUAUUGCCUUUUCUCUCAUAAUAUGCAAGGUUUACACGAAGAGGGAGAUUACUGGUAGCUGGAAUUUUGGACCUGAAAAAGCUACGUCAGAGAUACCUAUUCUGCACAUCCCCAAAUGAGCUGAAAUUUUACGGAGAUUUAUUUUGGAAUAAAUAAAAAAUACUGGAGCAAAGAAGUACCAAAGGGGGCCACCCAGGGCCAGGCGUGCCCUAGUGCGUGGUGGGUCCCCUGGCUAGUCCCCGGUGCACAUCUUCUGAUUUAGCCCAUUUGCCUUAGAAAAAAUAAAUAAGAAGAGGACUUUCGGGACAGGGCGCUACCGUCUCGGGGCAGAACUUGGGCAGGAGAACUUUUCCACUCCGGCGGAGCGAUUCCGCCAGGGAUACUUCCCUCCGAGAGGGGGAAAUCAAAGCCAUCGUCAUCACCAACAACCCUCUCAUCAUGGGAGGACCAAUCUUCACCAACAUCUUCACCAGCACCAUGUCAUCUCAAAACCUAGUUCAUCUCUUUUAUUCAAUCUUUGUAUCAAAACCUCAGAUUGGUACCUGUGGGUUGCUAGUAGUGUUGAUUGCAUCUUGUAGUUGAUGCUAGUUGGUUUAUUUGGUGGAAGAUUAUAUGUUCAGAUCCAUUAUGCUAUUCAAUAC
rnacentral:rRNA from 1 species